GCAAGUGUUCCCUGUGGAGGCAACGGAGCCUGAAGCAUCCGGGUCUCACCCAGAAGAAUCCUCUAGCAUCCAGCAAUCACACAGAGCAGGAACGGGCAAAGUGCAGUACAAAUCUGAAAUACCAGGUGGCAUUAUCUGUGGUUCCUUCCAUCACAAAGUUGCUCUGUGUGCAUCUGCUCACCCAGCAAAGACCAUACUUGAGCUGUGUAACUGCACCUUAAACCAGCUGAAAUUUCAUCUGCAAGAACAUUUCAGCUGUGACAAAUUUGUCCAAUACGCUUGAGAAAUCCCACUCCUCCAUUGGGAUUGGCGAGUUUAUGUUGUCAAGUGGUUGCUUUGUUUCUAUAGAUAGAUAAGGGAAUUUGUCUGUAGGACUUUGGGACUGAAAAGAAGUGACCCUGCCGUCAUUGCCUGUAGCAUCUCUCACACUUCAGUCACUCGCUGAUUUCGUUUCCUCAAGUGAUUCUUCACAUCCUCUAGCUUUUCAGCUAUCUUCAACCAGGUGAGACCCCUGCACAAGACUAAGAGAAGCGUUUGAAAGGCAGGAUGGCCAAUACAGUACACUCUGGUAUUUUGCUUGUUUUGGUAUCAGUAUUGAGCAAAAAAGCAGAUUUUGGGGUGUGUGGGUCUAAGUACAAAAUGAUUAUAGAUGUUUCCUUUUUUAAUGCUAAUAUACUUUAAAAGACAAAAUUAACUACAUGCACUACUCAAGACAUAGCACCAAGUUCACUUGUUAGUAGAAUUUAAUUUCAUUGUACGCUCUUCCCAUCCUUCUGCUUCCCUACCUACUGGACAGCGAGUAUCAAGUCUUGUUACUGCAUUUGGAUAGCAAUACUGUUCGGCUACUCCACAAGUUAGUUUGUAAAGAAAGAGACCUGACUUUCAAAAAAGGGUUGUUAGAGAAAAAAAAAAGAUAUUUUCAGGCCAUCUAUUUACAUCUCAAAAACGCAGUAAGAAUCUGCUUUUGGAAUACAGGAAAUGUUAGGAUGCAAAAAUACACCACUCACUUUUGGAGUCUGCUUACCACAUGCCACAUAAUUGUGGUGUAUAUUGAUUUAUCCUAAUUACAUGUCAGUAUAUUUAUUUGCUUUCUGACUGGAGCAGAACUGCUACAUACUGAAUUCAGCUUGCUUAUGGCUUUUGCGCCUUUCCUGUGGUGCACAGUAUCACAAACCUUGUGCUUUUAGAAACAGAACCAGAACAAAACUAAAAUACAUGAUCCAAGCUGCACAUCAUGGCUGGUGUAUAAAUACUCAGUUUCACCUGGUCGUAUUCAUAUGUAUGCAAAUGUGUUUUAACAUUAGCUCAGUGGCUGCCAUUCAUAAGAACAUAUUUUAGGUGCAAGAAAAGGAUGACUUCGCUUCCCAGAUUAUGAUUAUGCAGCUGCUGGAAGGGAUGAAUUCCAGUCUAUACACUGCUUUCUAAAACACUUGUGUUAAUUUGCUCCUCAGUAAUAUCCAGAUGUAACUAAUUACCCUGUAAUGAGGCUCCUAAAGCUGACCCUCUAACAGGCUUUGGAAGAUGUCCAGCUUAUUACACGGAAUGAUUUGGCUUGACUUUCCUUGAACUCCUCAUACAUGGAUGCCAUAAAUGGUCGUGUUCCUCAGCAAUGAUGCAUCCUAAGGGUGGUAACAAGGACAAACAGGAUGACUAUGGAAGACAUUCUGCUCGUCAACGGCAGGUUUGCAAAGAGUUACUUACAUAACAUCUGAACGCCAGCUGCACUCAAUGAGGACUUUGGCUAUGGUUUUGACAGUAAGAAGCUUGCAAAGUUAGUUAAUACAUGCAUCUCACACAGUUUUGGAAGGUGUCAACAAGAUUGUUUCCCAUUCUAACGAUCUCCUAUAACUACACAAUCUGCAACUGCAGUUUUCCACACAGGGAUUUUUCCCGAUCUUGGUACUUCGCUAAAAAGACUGAGGCACGGAGAGCUCACUGCUACAACCCCCGUGGCAUUGAUCUUUGCUGAGGACGUACUCAAGAUUCAUGCUUGGUCAAGAAAGACCCCAUGAUGCUUAGAUUUUUGAGGAGACAAGAUGAUCCCUGGCAUCUAGAACAGUUUCCAUGGUGCGUCACUGGAAUCACCUCUAAAAAGUCUCCACAGACGCCACUCGUAAAGCUGGUUUAUGUUUUUCUUGGUCCUAAUCUGUAGAUUAGGUCAAAAUAUUUCUGCGGGCUGCUACUGACUGCACUCAAGUGCUAUAUGAGGGGAUUCAAUCACACAGUGUAUGUCACUUAGCUCAGCAAGAACUGAAAUGCUUUGAGCAGGAGUUGCCAAGAGGAAUGUUAUGGACUGUCUGAUCACCUACUCCAACUCUAUCCAAAGUAGCUUCAGACCUGAAGGCUCAGAAAUACACAUACAUUUUCUGUCAUUGGGCGUUUAAGUAGCUAUAUGUAACUGUUCUAAAUGUAUUUAAAAACAGAAAAUGAGUGUAAUGAAGAACACCAUCUAUUAACCAGAGCUUUCGCUUGUAGGCUUCUUUAGAAAGGCAAAUAGAACAAUUCUGUUCAUAAAGAAUCUACAGCUGAACAAAGAAAUGCCAGUGCCCAUGCUUCUGCAAGCAGCGGUGAAUUUACUCCUUACGUCAGCGCGCAUGGGAAAAGCAGCCUAGUUACCAGUAAGGUGGUAUGUGACAUAAAUACAUAGCACAGUUCUGUGUCUGCGGUAGGAGACGGGGGGUUGUAAUGUGGGAAGGUCAGUUGCAUUGCGUGGUAUUUAAUUCAUGCCAAGUGGAAAGCACUUUCAUUUUUGUAGUCACAAUUUAACAACGCUCUGGGGUAGAGAACCCUGCGGUUAAAACAUACCACUACUUUUGAAAAAGAAACUACCCGCAGAACAACAAAACACUGCUUUGCAUUUUAAAAGGUACCAAAGAAUUUAAGAAAAAGCCGAAACCUUUGUUUAAUGAAGUACAGACUGAAUUAUCCUUAUAGGUUAGCAACCAUUUUCUGUGCCCCCCUCAGAAGUCAAAGAAUUGCUGUGGUGUCGGUUAUGAGAAAUCCCUCCAGCCCUUCACAGCCUGGUACUGAGGGAAUUUGGUCCAAAUCACAGACUCAGUAUGUCAAAAUGACAUUUUUCUACCUCUGAAAUUACUUCCAGUUUUUAUUCCUUCAAUCCCCCCUCUCCAAAAGGCUUUCAUCAUGUAACCCACAUUCCAUAAAGCUUCUGCAAUGCUUCUCAUCCAGCGGGAGUGAUUAUUGUUAUGUACAUUUAACUAACAUCUGUCUUGGAUUAGAAAAAAACAAAGUAACAAUCCUUGAAACUCAAGUGUGAAUAUAGCGGGGAAACAGGACUUCCCUCCAGCACCGGGGCCUUGGUUGGAAGAGUAAUGCUGCAAACCAUGACUAGUAACAAACUCAGAAUUGCCUGUGGGAUCUUAAUCUAUAAAUAUGCAAGGGAGGUAAGGUGGUAGAGAUCUUCUGUCAAGUUACUCAUACGCUUGUGAACCAGCUAUCAUUUUGCUGCAGAAAACACAAAACCUCUUGAUUUUCAUCAAGAAAGUUUUUGAUCUGUGCUACCUUAUAUAUUCUACCUUCUGUUUGUGAGAAGCACCUGGAAAACUGGUAGGGGGAGGCUCUUCCAGAGAUAGUGGGUGGGGGCAUUAGCUUCUUGUGAUGAUUCAUGGCAGAGAAAUGACAGUUACUCACAAAAUAGUCCUUAGGCAUAAAUAAUUGGUGUUCCUUUACCAGCUCCCAUUAGCUACAGCUAAGAGUUACCGAGCUGAAGUAAGAGUGGAGGAGCAAUUCAAAAACACCCAAAACAUCACGCUGUGCAUGCCAUAUCACAGACUGGUCUGAAGGCAGAAGUUGCUGCCUUUUUUUUUUUUUUUUUUCUUUUCUCCCCCGCCCCCUUCAAUAAGCAUACUACUUCCUAUGGAACAACUGCUUAGGCAAUUGCUUUUCCAUGGCUUAGUCAUCCAGCAUUAAAUGAGGUGCUGGCAAGAUAUGUUUUGACAGGUGCUGCUGAGCUGUUCAGUUGAAGCAGUUUCAAGUCAUGUCUGCUAUUUGCUUUUAGUAAUUCUGGAAUGGAUUUUUUUUUUUCUACUGAACUACUUAGUUUAGUACAACCAGAAAUAACUGCUUUAAGCUCACAGUAUUCAGAGGUGCAAAAGCAAUUAAACAUGCAGAACACAUGAAUGGACAAAGGCCACAGAUCUUCAAAACUUCUUGAAGCACAGGGGCCAUGAUCUAAUGGAGAGAGUUCAUCACUGUUUUUUUUCACUUGCAGUAAUAUUCUCUUUGGACACUUGUCUUGUGACUGUUGCCUUUCUGGAAAGUGAGCUCUAUUACUCAAGCUCUUGAAUAAGGCAUUGCAAUAAAUUAAUAAAGCCGACCCUGGACUUCUAUAAAUUAGUAAAGCAGAAAGAAUCUGAAUGGUUGAAAUGCUGGGCAAACUCUGGCACAAAUACUUCUAGUUUUACAGCUCAUUCCAGCAGAGCAACCUGCUAAGCAGCAAUGAAGAAGGAAGUCUUGGCCUCAGUGCCCACAAGAAUUGAACCAACUCAUUAAGGAACAUCGGCUUCUGAUUUCCCCAGGUUAUGCUGGAAUUUAUUGAAACAGACUAAAGUGGGCAUCUUACCCCAAACCACAGCAAGUGAGACAACACUACUGGGAGACAAUGUGCCUCUUCAGUCAACAGGGUUAGAUGAUGAACUACUCUAAAUACUGGAGAGGCCUUAAACAGCUACACAAUUGGAUCCUCCUCUGACAAUCAAACCAAGGCAGACAGCUAACCUCUGAGAAACAAAUCCAGAUGAGGAAGGAAUUAAAUACUUCAAACCAGACAACUCAUGGACAUUGUUACAAGGAAAGAGGAUGCAGGAAAGAACCCCCAUUCAAACAAGAAGUCACGAGAAGGACAAUAGGGCUCCAGAGAGGAGAGGAGAGAGAGAAGGGGAGAAGCACCUCCUGUAUAUUUACAUAAUCACAGCUCUCAGGUAAGUUGUGCCUUUAUGUUGAUGUAAUAGAAAGCUAAGAGAAACUUAGUUACAGGUAAGAAAGUACACUUAAAAAUGCUAGAUAACAUUUCCUAUUCCUUGUUCUGAAAGUAAUGGGACAUAAAUUAGCCAUUAGGAGAAAAAAACAAAA